GAUGAACGCUGGCGGCGUGCUUAACACAUGCAAGUCGAACGGAAAGGCUCCUGCUUGCAGGGGUACUCGAGUGGCGAACGGGUGAGUAACACGUGGGUGAUCUGCCCUGCACUUCGGGAUAAGCCUGGGAAACUGGGUCUAAUACCGGAUAGGACCACAUUUUGGAUGGUGUGGUGGAAAGUUUUUCGGUGUGGGAUGAGCUCGCGGCCUAUCAGCUUGUUGGUGGGGUAAUGGCCUACCAAGGCGUCGACGGGUAGCCGGCCUGAGAGGGUGUACGGCCACAUUGGGACUGAGAUACGGCCCAGACUCCUACGGGAGGCAGCAGUGGGGAAUAUUGCACAAUGGGCGCAAGCCUGAUGCAGCGACGCCGCGUGGGGGAUGACGGCCUUCGGGUUGUAAACUCCUUUCGCUAGGGACGAAGCGCAAGUGUCGGUACCUGGAGAAGAAGCACCGGCUAACUACGUG
rnacentral:rRNA from 1 species